GGAUUGAUGGUCACUGCACCAUAGUCACUGCUUAGAAAAGCUGAACAAAAUGAUUAAAAUCUCAUAACCAUCUUUCUCAGUUUAACUGAGAUGA